UACGUAGGGUGCGAGCGUUAAUCGGAAUUACUGGGCGUAAAGCGUGCGCAGGCGGUUCGUUGUGUCGGCGGUGAAAGCCCCGGGCUUAACCUGGGAAUGGCCGUUGAAACUGGCGAACUGGAGUGUGGCAGAGGGGGGUGGAAUUCCGCGUGUAGCAGUGAAAUGCGUAGAUAUCGGGAGGAACACCUGUGGCGAAAGCGGCUCUCUGGACCACAACUGACGCUGAGGCGCGAAAGCUAGGGGAGCAAACAGG
rnacentral:rRNA from 1 species